GACGAACGCUGGCGGCGUGCUUAACACAUGCAAGUCGAGCGGUAAGGCCCUUUCGGGGGUACACGAGCGGCGAACGGGUGAGUAACACGUGGGUGACCUGCCCUCAGCUCUGGGAUAAGCCUGGGAAACCGGGUCUAAUACCGGAUAUGACUCCAUGACGCAUGUUGUGGGGUGGAAAGCCUUGUGCGGCUGAGGAUGGGCCCGCGGCCUAUCAGCUUGUUGGUGGGGUGAUGGCCUACCAAGGCGACGACGGGUAGCCGGCCUGAGAGGGCGACCGGCCACACUGGGACUGAGGCACGGCCCAGACUCCUACGGGAGGCAGCAGUGGGGAAUCUUGCGCAAUGGGCGAAAGCCUGACGCAGCGACGCCGCGUGAGGGAUGACGGCCUCGG
rnacentral:rRNA from 1 species